rnacentral:misc_RNA from 1 species
GAUGAAGAACGUAGCGAAAUGCGAUAAGUAAUGUGAAUUGCAGAAUUCAGUGAAUCAUCGAAUCUUUGAACGCACCUUGCGCCCUUUGGCCAUUCCGAAGGGCAUGCCUGUUUGAGUAUCAUGAACACCUCAACUCUUUAUGGUUUUCCAUGAUGAGCUUGGACUCUGGGGGUUUUGCUGGCUCACAGUCGGCUCCUCUAAAAUGAAUCAGCUUACCAGUGUUUGGUGGGUAUCAUGGGUGUGAUAACUAUCUACGCUUGUGGUUCUUCCACCAGGUAACCUUCAGCAGUGGAGGUUCGCUGGAGCUCAUAGAUGUCUCUCCUCAGUGAGGACAGCCCUUUGAAUGUUUGAUCUCAAAUCAGGUAGGACUACCCGCUGAACUUAAGCAUAUCAAUAAGCGGAGGA